ACAGUUUCCCUCCCCUCACCCUCCCAAAAAGUUUUAAUAUCCCUCCUCCCUCUUUAACCUAAAUCGGUUCCCUCUUUCAUAUUUCAUAGAUCUUCUGAGUUGUGACCAUCCGACAAUCACAAACCCUAAUCAACAUAUGAGGGGAUAAAUAAGAAGGAUCUCAAAUGAAAAUUCCACAUGCUCUGUUUGUUUUUUGUGGGCGAUAACUAGAGCAAGGAAGGAGGAAGAAAUCGGAUUUUUCAAGAAAUUGUUCAAAGUUAUCCAUGCCUUGAUUAAAAUCGUGUAUCUCUAAGUGAUUUUAAAUCAGUACUUAACCCAUGGAAGUCAAUGCGUCGAUGGAAGGAUUCAAUAUACGACAAAUCCUACGGGCGAAGAUGCUUUGGAAACAGAAAAUUUGCUCAAGUGGCGGCCAAGCUAUUGAAAGCCCUAUCAUAUGUUACACUAGUAAACAAUGCUUGGGAAGUGGAAGGUCUUGAGAAAAUAUAGAGCUAUUCAUAUUGACACUUUUUUAUCUAUUAAUUUGGAGUUUGGAUAAAGCAUUUUUAAGGAUUACUGGUGCUAAAGUUUUUUUUUCAAUAUACAACCAAUCAUUUCUCUACCAUUUUAUAGGACCAAAGCAACUUUUUUCAAUGGCCAGACAGGUAUCUUAGAGGCUCUAAUUUAUUUGUAGUUUUUUUGUGCUUUUGAUAUCGAGUUAAGCUUAUUGAUUUCUUCGUAUGGAUUAACGCUAGGGUAAGCACUUAAUCCCUUAUGUAAAUUGUGGGUGUAAUGAUAUUGUAAAUAUUGACACCCUUUAGUUUAAACUUAAAUCGCAAUGGUUUCACAUUUCUUGAUAUUUUUAAUUGUGGUAGUGUCCACGUCAGCCAGGAGGUACUGAAUGCGGCUACUAUGUGAUGAAGUUCAUGAAGGAGACAACUUACGAAUUGAAGGAGUUGAAAUACUUGACAAUGAUAAUGUUGGGAAAGGAGUAGAAGAAUACUCGGCUGCGGAUAUGGAUGGCAUUCGUGAAGAUUGGUCGACUUAUGCGGUUAACUCUAUUUUUAAGUUAUAAAUCGUAUUUUAGGUGUUGAUAAUGUAUAGACAAACAAUUCUUUUUUGUUAACAUUAAAAUAUUUGUAGUAUACUUGACAAAUGAUUAUGUAAUGGAUUGU